rnacentral:snoRNA from 1 species
UAGUGUUGUGAUGAUGGGCAAAAUGUUCAGUUGCUCUGAAUUGGCUGAAUGAAAUUAGCCUUUCUGAACAUCC